CGUUGGCCAUGCUCUAACACCCAAACACACGGCGAAAGUGAUCAAAUUCGAGUACAGAGCUUUCCUAGGUCUCCGCUCGCUUGAAGGCAAGCAACCACCGGCUGUUGCAGCCACGGCACCAACCUCUACACCGCCCGGUGACCAUACCCACCCUUCCAACGGCACCUCCACCUACCGCCGGCGAACUCGUCCCCGUCGCUCUCCAAUCUUCCCACCGGAGAUGACGACGACAGAGGGUCUGGUGCCGAUCACGCGGGACUACCUCGCGCGCUACUACGACAAGUACCCGCUGCCCCCGAUCCCCGACGGCGUAACCGCCCUCUCUGCCCGCCUCCGCGCUCUGUCCGCCGAACUCGCCGCCGCUUCUCCCUUCUCCCCCGAGGAGGAGCACUUGAAACAAGAGGCAUCUGGUGUACCUGCCCAUAAAAUAGAUGAGAACAUGUGGAAGAACAGAGAACAGAUGGAAGAGAUUCUGUUUCUGCUUAAUAAAUCUCGUCGUCCAGUUGCUCUUCAACAGAAGUCCACACCAGAAGACGCUGAGAUAGUUUCCACACUUGAUGAUUGUGAAACUAAAUUGAAAGAGAUGUUGAAGAAGUUAGAACAGUUUCAGCUAAAAAAUGCCGAUAAUGUUUUCAAUACAGUUAUGACAUACAUGCCACAAGACUUCCGUGGUACACUGAUCAGGCAACAGCGAGAACGCUCUGAGAGAAAUAAGCAAGCGGAGGUUGAUGCUGUAGUUAGUGCUGGUGGAAGCAUUCAUGAUAGAUACGCAUUGCUAUGGAAGCAGCAAAUGGAUAGGCGGGUGCAAUUAGCGCAGCUUGGUUCUGCAACAGGUGUAUAUAAGACACUUGUUAGGUACUUGGUUGGUGUUCCACAGGUGUUAUUGGAUUUUAUUCGACAAAUAAAUGAUGCUAAUGGACCUAUGGAAGUGCAAAGAGAGCGCUAUGGGCCAGCACUAUACACACUUACAAAACUGGUGCUUGCAGUUCGGUUAUAUCUACAUCUCUCUUUGGCACGAUAUGGACAGAAGAAAAUAGGGAAGGAUGACAUUGCUGUGUUGCAGCAGGCAGUGGUUAUAUACACCGAGGAAUUUGGGAAGUUCACUACAUUCAUCGGUGAGGUUUUUGUGAAUGCCCCAUUCUUCAUAUCUGCUGAGGAUGCAGGUGCUGAUUCGAGGAAAAACGAUGAGUACCGAGAAACCAUUAUUCCAGCGGGAAAGACACAUGAGGUUAUUUUAAGUGUUGAAGCUGUCAACUCAUAUAUUGCAUGGGAUUUCUCAUUGCAACAAGGGGCCCUCAGCACACUGCUGGAUAUUGGCUUUCAUGUGGAGUACAUAAGCCCGUCACGGGAGAAAACGUUGAUUCUUCCCUACCGACGGUAUGAAGCUGACCAAGUGAGUUCACUUUAAUGCUUAUCCUCUUUUGCUUCGAAAUAUUCUACUUUUCAGGUUUGUGGUCCAAUCAAUAUAGUUUUCAUUCAAAGUGAGUUAGUUCCAAAAAAGGGUUUAAUAGGUUAUAGCAUUAGCAUGUUUAUGUGUUCGACAGAUCAGAGGGAGUAUUAUUCUUAGCAUAGCAGUUUGCAUGUUUAGGCUGGUGGAAUACAUCUUCAGCCGUCAUAACAUGGGCCACAGCGAGAGAACCACAUGGUCUGUUGGCCGUUUGUAUUACUAAUGCAACAGUAACCAGCCAAUCAAAUGUAUGAAUCCCACCUUGAUCUUGACCUUCGGUUCAUCAUCAGGUAAUCAGAAACGUUGCAGUUAGGCACCAUAGUUGAUUACUAUUGUCCAACCACCCAAAUUUAUACCUCUAUCCAACAUUAUUGAUGUCAUAGUCAUUUGUUUUGCAUAUAUUGCAAUAAAAUUUACUGUGGGGGCUCCCCUAUAGUUUUGGUUUAGAAAAAUGUGAAAACAUAUAGUUUUGCUAAUAAAUUGCUAUAUGUACAAUCCCAACCGGUUGACUAGGGAAUGAUUUAAACAGGGUAAUGUUUGUCCUAUUUUUGCUUUAAUUAUUCGACCGCCUUGCACAGGAAAAAUCCUGGGCAAGAGUACUAUUGCUUUAGCUUUUAGCAGCCAUGGUGUAAGAGUAAAACCCGUAUCUGCUCUUCUGAUGCUUAACAUUUCGUUUGUCCUGCACAGGGUAACUUUUGCACUGUUUUCGCUGGAUCGUACAAGCUUGUAUGGGACAACUCAUAUUCAACAUUCUUCAAAAAG